rnacentral:rRNA from 1 species
CACGGGGGGAGCAAGCGUUGUUCGGAAUCACUGGGCGUAAAGAGCGUGUAGGCGGUCAGGUAAGUGGGAUGUGAAAUGCCCCGGCUCACCCGGGGACCGGCAUCCCAUACUGCUUGGCUUGAGUACGGGAGAGGAUGUGGGAAUUCCUGGUGUAGCGGUGAAAUGCGUAGAUAUCAGGAGGAACACCGGUGGCGAAGGCGCACAUCUGGCCCGAUACUGACGCUGAGGCGCGAAAGCUAGGGGAGCAAACGGG